rnacentral:misc_RNA from 1 species
GAUGAAGAACGCAGUGAAAUGCGAUAAGUAAUGUGAAUUGCAGAAUUCAGUGAAUCAUCGAAUCUUUGAACGCACCUUGCACCCUUUGGUAUUCCGAAGGGUAUGCUCGUUUGAGUGUCAUUGUACUCUCACACUUCUAAUUCCUUUCGGGAUUGGGAGCGGUGGACUUGGGUGUUGCUGCUUUAGUUGUGGCUCACCUCAAAUAAGUUAGUGCAACUCUUGGUUGGACAUAGUACGGCGUGAUAAGUGUCUUCGCCGGCGCCUCUGUAAGGAGGGUGGCCGAUCGGGAGCUCUGUGCUUCAAACCGUCUUCGGACAACAACUGACAACUUGACCUCAAAUCGAGUAGGACCACCCGCUGAACUUAAGCAUAUCAAUAAGCGGAGGA